AUGUCAGGACACCGUGAAAAGACGGCCGUCUGUACCCUCAUCUUGGGCUUCCAGCCUCCAGAACUGAGAGAAAAACGAAUGUCUAGUGUUGAAGCCCCAGCCCAUGCUGUAUUGUGGUGGCAGCCUCGUGCUAAGACACCUGCCACCGGGCAGUGUGGAUGGGAUGCUGCAGCCCCGAGGGAUGACUACGGCAAAUGUGGAUGCUCGGGAGUUUUAGGAGUUGAUGGAUGCGCAAGGAUGUCGUCAGAAAAAGCCAGGGCUUCCCGAGACCAGGGGCAGCUCACAGGAGGACACCGGCAGAAGAUUCUGAUGGGAACAAAGCUGGAACCACAGGGUGGUUUUGGUUUUGGUUUGGUGCCUCCGUUAAGAGCACCGCUGGCUGUCGAGGCAGAGAGGAAGUGGAACAGAACCCGAGCUGGGAAGGAGCUGACACGUAAUCCCACAGAAAGUAAGUGACUGUUGGCAGAAAAUGCAUUUAGGAAAUGCGGUAACAGGCUCUGCCAACGGGUUGUUAUGAUUCAGGCUUGGGACAUGCACAGAGGUCUGGGCGCCAGGGCCACCCCAGGACACAUCAGUGGCGGCAGGACAGCCAGGUAGGUGAGGCAGGUGUACUCCCAUCUAAGAGCCAGAGUUGGUGUCUCCAGAGUUUGGCAAAUCUGACCCUGGGGGCAGAGAGCCUCGGGGAGGGGAGGGGAGUUGCUUUGGUAACUGGGUUACCUUGGGGUGAUCGCUGCCUGGCUUUGCACAUGAGGUGUGGGCAUGGAGCAAGGCUGCUGGGGCCUCUGAGGCCAAGAAAGGAAAAUAAAAAUGGAGUCAGCAUUGCUAGGAAAGUUCUCUAAAAUGAUGCCAGUAGGCCACUAGGGAUGUGUGACUUAGUCUCAGCCUGGAUGGAGUCUGACCUUUUGACCUGAUGAAGGCAUCCAGGACUUGGAAACUCCAGACACUCACCAGACCCUUACCCUGAACUUGCUCCCCUAGGGAUUUAUCUUGUAGAUGCCUGACUGCUCAGAGCCCAAAGACAAAUGGAUGGCCAGUGUGCACGUUGUCACGUGGUUUCUGCCAGCAAACACUGUCAACCAUCUAAGUGUCCGCCAACAGGUGCUUGGUACCAUGCACUGUGCUGAGGUUCCGGGGUAGUAGGCUGGCUGUAACAAGCACGUGGUAGAUGGAGUUCCUGGUGUGGCUUAGCAGUAACAAACCCGACUAGAAUCCAUGAGGACACGGGUUCGAUCCCUGGCCUUGCUCAGUGGGCUAAGGAUCCGGAGUUGCCUUGAGCUGUGGUGUAGAUCACAGAUGCGGCUGUGAUCCCUCAAUGCUGUGGCUGUGGUGUGGGGGGGCAUCUGCUGCUCGGAUUUGACCCCUAGCCUGGGAACUUCCAUGUGUCGCAGGUGCGGCCCUAAAAAAAAAUAAAUAAGAACAUGGUGGAUACAAAAAAUACUCCAUGAAAUGUUCAGAAACAUCGUUAAGGGACAAGAGCAAGACGUACAACAGGGUAAAAAGAAUAUGCUUGCAUGUGUGUAGAAAGUUUUGCAAAAACACACAAGAGGCCUGCCCGGAGCAACGUGUGGAAGGUCUGUGCUGGCGGGAGAACUUCCUUUGCAUUGUGCCGUGACUUCUGCUCAGUGCACAUAUUACCUCAAUGAAAGAAGCCCGUUUCUUCCUCACGAUUCCCCCAGAUCUGAGGGAGGCGCCCGGGGGAGGUGUUGCCUGGACUGCAACCCAGGCAUCCGCAUAAAGCCCAGCUGUCCCGAGGGAUUUCACACACACGUCUGGAACCAGGGUUGUCUUUUUAUUUAUUUAACUUUUAUUAUCAUAAAAGUAGUACGUGGUCGUGGAGAAUGUCUGGAAAAGCAGAAGGGAGGGAGAGACUUGCUCGUGGCUAUGCCUCCUAACUCUGCACUCUUCCUACUGGGUGGUUUCCUAAGAUAAAGCUCUUUCCAUCAUUGCAGGCGGUCUCUCGCAUCGGUUUCCUGAGGUUUUUUGUAUGUUUGUUUGUUUUACUUACUGUGGAAUUAUGAAUAUUGUCUGGUGUCCUUAACAAUCUUGGCGAAAGGCACGAGUUAUGUUUGUGGACGUGACCGCCUGCCCCUUACCCAGUUCUUCCCAAAGUUGAGCCUGGUUCUCCUAGGGGCGGUUUGGCCCUGUUGGAUUUUCUGGCAUCUUUGGUGAAAGGAGAGGAGCUUUGGUGCCAGGCCUUUGGUGCUCAUGGGACAUCUGGGAGCACAGUUCAUGGACUCCGUGGGCCCUCGAACCCCUGGGGAAACUGCCUCCAUCCCUGUUGACAUCGUUACUAUGGGAACAUGUAAGUUGGAGGCUCUUGCAAAGUGAC
rnacentral:lncRNA from 1 species